GGCCUACCAUGGUGGUAACGGGUAACGGGGUGCUAGGGCACGACACCGGAGAGGGAGCCUGAGAAACGGCUACCACAUCCAAGGAUGGCAGCAGGCGCGCAAAUUACCCAAUCCCGACACGGGGAGGUAGUGACAAUAAAUAACAAUACGGGGUUCUUUCGGAUCUCGUAAUUGGAAUGAGUACAAUUUAAAUCUCUUAACGAGGAACAAUUGGAGGGCAAGUCUGGUGCCAGCAGCCGCGGUAAUUCCAGCUCCAAUAGCGUAUAUUAAAGUUGUUGCAGUUAAAAAGCUCGUAGUUGAAUUUCGGGGUUAGUAGGCUGGUCAUGCCACCGGUAUGUACUGGUCUUACUGAUUCCUCCUUCCUGAUGAACCGUAAUGCCAUUAAUUUGGUGUUGCAGGGAAUCUGGACUGUUACUUUGAAAAAAUUAGAGUGUUUAAAGCAGGCUAACGCUUGAAUACAUUAGCAUGGAAUAAUGAAAUAGGACGUUCGAUCCUAUUUUGUUGGUUUCUAGGAUUGACGUAAUGAUUAAUAGGGAUAGUUGGGGGCAUUAGUAUUCAAUUGUCAGAGGUGAAAUUCUUGGAUUUAUUGAAGACUAACCACUGCGAAAGCAUUUGCCAAGGAUGUUUUCAUUAAUCAAGAACGAAAGUUAGGGGAUCGAAGACGAUCAGAUACCGUCGUAGUCUUAACCAUAAACUAUGCCGACUAGGGAUCGGACGAGUUAAUUUUAUAAUGACGCGUUCGGCACCUUCG
rnacentral:rRNA from 1 species